UCUAGACAGCAGGACGGUGGCCAUGGAAGUCGGAAUCCGCUAAGGAGUGUGUAACAACUCACCUGCCGAAUCAACUAGCCCUGAAAAUGGAUGGCGCUGAAGCGUCGUACCCACACCCGGCCGUCGGGCCGCGCGGCACGGUCCGACGAGUAGGAGGGCGCGGCGGUGGCGGUGCAGCUUCGGGCGCGAGCCCGGGUGAAGCCUCCGCCGGUGCAGAUCUUGGUGGUAGUAGCAACUAUUCAAACGAGAUCUUUGAAGACUGAAGUGGAGUAGGGUUCCAUGUGACCAGCACUUGGACAUGGGUUAGUCGAUCCUAAGGGGAGGGAGAGAUCCCCGUGGAAGGCGCAAUCGCCUCCGGCGACCGCGCCGUCUUCCCCGAAAGGGAGUCGGGUCAACAUUCCCGAACCGGGAUGCGGGUAGGCCCUCGUGGCCGAGGCGGCAACGCGAGCGAACUCGGAGACGUCGGCGGGAGCCCCGGGAAGAGUUCUCUUUUCUUCUUAACGGGCCCAUCCCCUGGAAUCAGGUUGGCUGGAGAUAGGGUGUCGUGCCCGGUAAAGCGUCACACUUGUGGUGGCGUCCGGUGCGCUCCCGACGGCCCGUGAAAAUCCGAGGGAGCGUCUGAUCUUCGCGCCCGGUCGUACCGAUAUCCGCAUCAGGUCUCCAAGGUA
rnacentral:rRNA from 1 species